GGAUGUAAAAGUCGUAACAAGGUCUCCGUUGGUGAACCAGCGGAGGGAUCAUUACCGAGUUUACAACUCCCAAACCCAAUGUGAACCAUACCAAACUGUUGCCUCGGCGGGGUCACGCCCCGGGUGCGUCGCAGCCCCGGAACCAGGCGCCCGCCGGAGGGACCAACCAAACUCUUUCUGUAGUCCCCUCGCGGACGUUAUUUCUUACAGCUCUGAGCAAAAAUUCAAAAUGAAUCAAAACUUUCAACAACGGAUCUCUUGGUUCUGGCAUCGAUGAAGAACGCAGCGAAAUGCGAUAAGUAAUGUGAAUUGCAGAAUUCAGUGAAUCAUCGAAUCUUUGAACGCACAUUGCGCCCGCCAGUAUUCUGGCGGGCAUGCCUGUCCGAGCGUCAUUUCAACCCUCGAACCCCUCCGGGGGGUCGGCGUUGGGGAUCGGGAACCCCUAAGACGGGAUCCCGGCCCCGAAAUACAGUGGCGGUCUCGCCGCAGCCUCUCCUGCGCAGUAGUUUGCACAACUCGCACCGGGAGCGCGGCGCGUCCACGUCCGUAAAACACCCAACUUCUGAAAUGUUGACCUCGGAUCAGGUAGGAAUACCCGCUGAACUUAAGCAUAUCAAUAAGCGGAGG
rnacentral:rRNA from 1 species